UAGUAAAAAAUACUGACCAAAAUCUCAAACCGCAUUUCCUGAGGCGUGUAGAUCACUGUCUUUAAGGACUUAUCCGCGGUGUGUUGCGCAAGUCCCCCAGGAUACAACAGGAACUUCUCGAAAUGUAUUCGAGGAUAACAGAACUAGCAAGAAACUCUAUAAAGAGUUUAUACCCAGGAUAAUUUUAGGAGAAGAAGACAAAGAAUGAACUUUGGUGUGUUUAGGAAUGGGGGAAAGAGUUCUCUAUUUAUAGAGAUAGGGAAGAAUAAAAUCAAUAAAAGACAAUAAAAAACAAUAAAUAAUUUGGUCGUUGCAGCACUUAAGAAUUUGGCUGUUGGAAUAUUACCGUUGGAGAAACGUUUCUUUUGCAAUAAUAUGAUAUUAUUACAACAAUCCCCCACUUAUUGCAAAAGAAAGUUGAAAGAAAAGAAAAGAAACUUUUUAUCGUGGGUCUCAUAGGAUGUAAUGCAUCAGAGCUGGUAUAGCAAGCUAUAUGAACCAGUCUUAGAUCAAGAAACUUAACACACAGUGUAGUUGGUGUAGCAAGCUAUAUGAACCAAAGACACUUGACGUGUGUUAGAGGUUUAUCAAUCACAAUACACCCCCAC
rnacentral:lncRNA from 1 species